rnacentral:snRNA from 2 species
GUAUGUUUCAGCAGCACAUAUACUAAAAUUGGAACGAUUCAGAGAAAAUUAGCAUGGCCCCUACGCAAGGAUGACACGCAAAUUCGUGAAGCGAUUUUU